AGACAAAGAAAAAAAAAGAAAGCUUGGUUCGGCACUUGUAAUCCUUAAUUUAGGUAUGUAUUUUGUUGGGUUUUUAAAAAUUUUUACGUUUUUAAGAUCGUUGCUUCGUGUUCUUCAAAACCCAUGUCUUAAUUUUGUGAAUUGUGAAUAAUUUUAAAAUGUGCCAUUGAUGAAUGCUUGAGUUUUAUGAUGCUAGUAGUUGAAAUAUGAAAUAUAUUUGUUAGAUUAACAUGUAUUGUUUUUGAAUUUUUGAUGAAAUUGAGUAAUUAGGGUUAAAUUGUGAAAAUAAAUUUUUCAAGGGACUAAAAUGCUAAAUAAAUGAAAAUAUGGAAUUAUAUAGACACUAGGAAUAUUCGGCCAUAGGAGUGUAGUUAAAUUUUGUGUAUUUUGAGCAAAAAGGAUUAAAUUGUAAAAAGUGUGAAACGUUAGGGGCAAAAUUUUAAUUUGCCCAUUCAUGUAUUUUUAGGCUAAAUUGAAUAGAAUGGUGUUUAAAUAAGCUUAAUUUGAAUAUGAUUUAGAUCAAGAAUUAAAGGAAUCGGAUUUGGAUCGGGGAAAGACAAAAGUGGUCGAGUAGCCGAUUUAACAGUCAACGAUAUCCGAGGUAAGUCUAUUAGCAAUUUAAUGUUAUUAACUCAACAUAUAUAUAUAUAUAUGUGUGUAUAUUUAUUAUAUAAUUGAUGAGCUAUAAUUAAAAGUAUAUAAAUUGAAUUUAGUUAAUAUAAGCAUUUAUAUAUGUAAAUAAGAAGUUCGAAUAAGUAUGUAUAUAUAAGUAUAAGUUUUUUGGAGUUAAGUGAAAGUAUGGAUGUUAUAUUUGUAUUUAUAAUGUUCGAAUAUAUAUAUGUAUAUAUAAAUAAGUUUUUGAAUUUAGUUGAAUUGUGAAUGUUAUAAAAAUAUUCAUAGGGUUCGAAUAAGCAUGUAUAUACAUUUUUAUAUUGAAUUUAAGUAUGAAAUUAUAUAUGUAUUUGUUAGAUUCGAAUAUGUAUAUAUGUACAUGUAUAAGUUAUUGUAUUGAAAUUAGAUAUGAAGUUAUAUAUAUGAGUAUGAGGUUCGAUUGUGUAUGAAUAUAUAUAUAUAAGUUCAUGAGUUGAAUUAUAAGUAUAAAUUAUAUAUAAAUGUAUAUGAGGUGCAAAUAUGUAUGUAUACACAUGUAUAAUUUUUGUAUUGAAUCAAAGGUAUGAAAUUAUUAGCUUAGAUUAUUUAUAAUAUGUUUGAAUGUAUGAUAUGUUUUCUUUGAAGUGAAUUUAAUGCCAUAAAAUGUGUAUGUAUUUAAGUAAUUCGAAUGUUAAAUGUAUAUUACUUAGGGUAUAUUAUAAAUUUAAUAGUAUGAUAUUAGUAGUAGGAUUCAAGAUAUAAAGUUAUAUACAUAAAUUUGUUAGGUUGAAUCAUGAAGUUAUUGAGCUGGAUUUGGUGUUUGAAUUUCAUGAACCUAUGUGGUUCAAAGAUAUAGGUUAUAAAUUUUGAGCUGAAUUUUUAUGUAUGGAUUUAUAUACAUAUAUAGUUCGAAUAUGAAUUACAGCUUCUUUGAACUGAAAUUAUUGUUGUGAAUUAUACAAGUAUGUUUUAAGUGCAUGAUUGUUACGUAGAAUUGAAUAUAAUUCAAUUCCAACGGAGAAACGACUAUCGGAUUUAUUGCCAGUGAAAUUAUUCAGACUAUACGUCUAGCAGGCUAAGUGCCGGUGAACUGAAUCAGGCUAUAGGCCUAGCAGGCUAAGUGCCGGUGAACUGAAUCAGGCUAUAGGCCUAGCAGGCUAAGUGCCGGUGAACGGAAUUAAACUAUAAGCCUAUCAG
rnacentral:lncRNA from 1 species